rnacentral:rRNA from 1 species
GAUGAACGCUGGCGGCGUGCCUAAUACAUGCAAGUCGAGCGAACAGACGAGGAGCUUGCUCCUUUGACGUUAGCGGCGGACGGGUGAGUAACACGUAGGUAACCUACCUAUAAGACUGGGAUAACUUCGGGAAACCGGAGCUAAUACCGGAUAAUAUUUCGAACCGCAUGGUUCGAUAGUGAAAGAUGGCUUUGCUAUCACUUAUAGAUGGACCUGCGCCGUAUUAGCUAGUUGGUAAGGUAACGGCUUACCAAGGCAACGAUACGUAGCCGACCUGAGAGGGUGAUCGGCCACACUGGAACUGAGACACGGUCCAGACUCCUACGGGAGGCAGCAGUAGGGAAUCUUCCGCAAUGGGCGAAAGCCUGACGGAGCAACGCCGCGUGAGUGAUGAAGGUCUUCGGAUCGUAAAACUCUGUUAUUAGGGAAGAACAAACGUGUAAGUAACUGUACACGUCUUGACGGUACCUAAUCAGAAAGCCACGGCUAACUACGUG